UUUUAAGAACAAAAUUUAAAUGAAUAUUGAGUAUGAUAAAAUUUGGUUGUGAAAUUAUAUAGAGAUUAAUGUCAUUAUAAUUUACACCGAAAUGUAAAAAUGAUUAUAAAGAGAUAAUUACUAUGAUUCAAAGGUGGAAAACAUUAGCAAUGUAAUCAGAAACUAAUUUACAUCAUCUAUUUAUAGUUUAUAAUCUCCUGAGAACGAUAAAUAUUCAUAUUGGAAACUUUUUGCGUUUUUUUUUCUAAAGAAAAAGAUUUUUUUAUUAUUUUUCAAGAAAAACGCAAGAUGCAACCAAGUAUACACCUUAAAAAAGUGUAAUAUUUUAGUAUAUAACCUAAAAAUUGUUUUAAUGAUGUUAUUUUAAUAUGUAAUUAUCUAUUUAUAAUGAUUUUGGCGAUAAAUUUCGCUGAAAAUUAUAAACGCAUUAAAAAAAAUCGCAAAAUUUGUUUUUUUUCGCUUAAAUUUUGGUAAUAUUAAACAAAAUAUUGCAGAAGAUGAUUGUGAUGAAUGAAUUCAGAAUGUCGGCCUUUUUAAUAUGGCCUAUAUUAUCAUUGGUGCUAAUUACAAAUGGCGCUGAGUUUGCACAAAAAGAUUACAACAUAGUAAGUGAUCGUCUUGUCGUAGAUAAAGAAUACAAAGAAUGGGCGGAUAUUACCUCGACAAAUACGAAAUAUAAUCGUACUCAACGCACGUUUUCGUUGACUUUAAACAUUCACAAGGCGCCACAUCCAAGCAAAGUUAUGGCGCGUGUGCAAGCAUAUCGAUUCACAAGCAAUGUUUAUAAACUUUUCGCACCGAUAAAGUUUACAAUCAAUGCUUGUGAUGCCCUGAGGAAGAAUACUUUCGGCGUUGGUGAAUUCCGAGAUAAAAUCGGUAACUUUACUGAUUGUCCAUUUAAACCAGGCGUGUUUGCCAUCCAUGAUUAUAUUCCUGAUGAAGAUAAAAUGCCGCCGUUUGUGCCUGAAGGGAAAUAUCGUAUUGCGCUGGAAUUACUUUCGGAUAAAGAACCACUUGGGGCUAUAUCCUGGUAUGGAGCAAUUGUCAAAAAGAAGAAAUUCUAAUAUUGGUAUUAAAAACAACAUAACCACACACAAACACAAAAAAUGACAGGAAAAUUAUAGGUUAUGUUAGUGUAUAAUAGUAUUUUUAGUAAUACUACAUAUUUUAGUACUUAUUAGAUAGAUUAGAUGAUGAAUAUUAUGAUGAAUAUGGUUGUAUCACUUUGGCAAUCUUUUUCACUCCGUAUUUGUACCAGAGUUUUUCGCCGAUUAUCCACAUUAAAGCAAGAAUAAAUCCUGUAACAGCAAAUUAAUCAGUUUAUGUUAUAUAGGCAACCCAAAAUGCUUGCAAUACCAAAAAAUAAAACAAAGAAACUUCCUUGCA